rnacentral:rRNA from 1 species
CCUACGGGUGGCAGCAGUGAGGAAUAUUGGUCAAUGGACGAGAGUCUGAACCAGCCAAGCAGCGUGAAGGAUGACGGCCCUAUGGGUUGUAAACUUCUUUUAUAUGGGAAUAAAAUGUUCCACGUGUGGGAUUUUGUAUGUACCAUAUGAAUAAGGAUCGGCUAACUCCGUGCCAGCAGCCGCGGUAAUACGGAGGAUCCGAGCGUUAUCCGGAUUUAUUGGGUUUAAAGGGAGCGUAGGUGGAUGGUUAAGUCAGUUGUGAAAGUUUGAGGCUCAACCGUAAAAUUGCAGUUGAAACUGGCAGUCUUGAGUACAGUAGAGGUGGGCGGAAUUUGUGGUGUAGCGGUGAAAUGCUUAGAUAUCACGAAGAACUCCGAUUGCGAAGGCAGCUCACUGGACUGCAACUGACACUGAGGCUCGAAAGUGUGGGUAGCAAACAGGAUUAGAUACCCCUGUAGUC